CAGUAGCCACGGUAAUACGAAGGGUGCAAGCGUUACUCGGAAUUACUGGGCGUAAAGCGUGCGUAGGUGGUGGUUUAAGUCCGUUGUGAAAGCCCUGGGCUCAACCUGGGAAUUGCAGUGGAUACUGGAUCACUAGAGUGUGUCAGAGGAUGGUGGAAUUCCCGGUGUAGCGGUGAAAUGCGUAGAGAUCGGGAGGAACAUCAGUGGCGAAGGCGGCCAUCUGGGACAACACUGACGCUGAGGCACGAAAGCGUGGGGAGCAAACAGGAUUAGAUACCCGCGUAGUCCCUGUCUCUUAUAC
rnacentral:rRNA from 1 species